rnacentral:rRNA from 1 species
AGCAGCCGCGGUAAUUCCAGCUCCAAUAGCGUAUAUUAAAGUUGUUGCAGUUAAAAAGCUCGUAGUUGAAUUUCGGGAUUGACACAUCGGUCGUGCCUUAAGGGGUAUGAACUGGUGUAGUCAAUUUCUCACCUUCUGGAGAACCGCGAUGCCCUUAAUUGGGUGUCGCGGGGAACCAGGACCUUUACUUUGAAAAAUUAGAGUGUUUAAAGCAGGCAUUUUGCUUGAAUACAUUAGCAUGGAAUAAUAAAAUAGGACGGCAUGAUUCUAUUUUGUUGGUUUCUAGGAUCACCGUAAUGAUUAAUAGGGAUAGUUGGGGGUCAUUAGUAUUCAAUUGUCAGAGGUGAAAUUCUUGGAUUUAUUGAAGACUAACUACUGCGAAAGCAUUUGCCAAGGAUGUUUUCAUUAAUCAAGAACGAAAGUUAGGGGAUCGAAGACGAUCAGAUACCGUCGUAGUCUUAACCAUAAACUAUGCCGACUAGGAAUCAGACGAUGUUAAUUUUUAAUGACUCGUUUGGCA